GACAGAGGGGGCAAGCGUUGCUCGGAAUCACUGGGCGUAAAGCGCACGUAGGCGGAUUGCUAAGUCAGGGGUGAAAUCCUGGAGCUCAACUCCAGAACUGCCUUUGAUACUGGCGAUCUUGAGUCCGGGAGAGGUGAGUGGAGCUGCGAGUGUAGAGGUGAAAUUCGUAGAUAUUCGCAAGAACACCAGUGGCGAAGGCGGCUCACUGGCCCGGUACUGACGCUGAGGUGCGAAAGCGUGGGGAGCAAACAGG
rnacentral:rRNA from 1 species